UAUGAACGUUGGCGGCGUGGAUUAGGCAUGCGAGUCGAGCGAGAACCGUAGCAAUACGGGGACAGCGGCGAAAGGGACAGUAACGGGUAGAUUAUCUGCCCUCAGGUUUGGGAUAGCUGCGGGAAACUGCAAGUAAUACCAAAUAAUAUCUCCGGAUCAAAGGUGUGAUUCCGCCUGAGGAUGAGUCUGCCUCCUAUUAGCUUGUUGGUGGGGUAACGGCCUACCAAGGCAUUGAUGGGUAGCGGGUGUGAGAGCACGACCCGCGUCAUUGGGACUGAGACACUGCCCAGACACCUACGGGUGGCUGCAGUCGAGAAUCUUCGGCAAUGGACGCAAGUCUGACCGAGCGACGCCGCGUGUGGGAUGAAGGCCUUCGGGUUGUAAACCACUGUCAGAGGGAAUGAAAUGCAGGUGGGUACUCCCAUUUGUUUGACAUAGCCUCAGAGGAAGUACGGGCUAAGUUCGUGCCAGCCGCCGCUGUAAGAC
rnacentral:rRNA from 1 species